UCCAUCUGUCAUUUUUCUUAAUUUCUAAAAUCUCAUGAAAACUGGAGUUUCUAAUAUUCCUCACUAAAGUUAUAUUUUAUAUUUCACUAUUAGAUGUAUGCUAACCUCCUGAACUCUUUUACUGUAGCAGAAUAUGAAAAAAAACCUCAUUCCUCACAAUCACAGAAUUCCUCAAAUCAAAUCUGUGUUUCUCUGUGAAUAUGAAAUGUGUACACAAUUCCAGGAUGACACCAAAUAGUAUGAUCUAUAUGAACUGUCUUUAAUGGAAGAAGCACCAUACAAAUCCAAAGUGCUUUUAUUCACAGUAAAGUAAGGAUAUACAAGAAAGGAGGGAUUAAAUAUAGGAUUUUAACUUCUGGCAGUGCAUCAAAAUCCUGGAGGAGCUUUUAAAAAAUACUAAUGCCUGAGCUCCACCUUGAAAGAUUGCUUUAAUUGGUUUGGCUUUUUCUUCUUAAGCAGAGCUCCUCAGGUGAUUCAGAUGUGCAGCCUGGGCCAGAACCAUGGGAUUAAAUAGUCUUUCAGGACUCCAUUAGAGGACACACUGGUUAAAAAUUAAACAUAAAAGAAAUUGCAUCUAUGUAAUCAGAGUGAAGACCUCAUGCCGUCUCAAGAUUAUGUCCUUACAUACAACUAUGAAGGAAGAGGGUCCCCAGCAGGGUCUGUAGGUUGCUGCAGUGAAAAGCAGGAAGAAGAUGGCCUGGACUUUUUAAAUAAUUUGGAAGCCAAAUUUACUGCAUUAGCAGAAACAUGCUCAAAGAGAUAAUGUUAAAGUGCUACAAUUAAACGGGUCUUUGAGAGACAUCAUUCUGGAGGUUUCCAAAAGGAAUAUUGCAAAAUUCAAUUUCAGUUUCAUAUAUGUGUAUAUGUAUGUGAAUUUUUCUAAAAUUUGAAUUACGCUGUUAACCAAUUUGUAUUUUUAUAACAACUUGUGCUUCUAUUUGCUUAGAAGUUUAAAAUGUUAAGGCAUAUUUUGCCUUCUUUACCCUUGAACAGACGACUAGCAAUCUCAUGCUAUGGCAUUGGGAUUUAGGUCUAUAAAGGGUUUGCUCUUCUUUACAGAUACUUGCCCGAUAAAUAGGUAAACAUUAGUCCAAUGCUAGCUAAGCUAUAUUAGAUCAAAUAUAGUAGAACAGCUGUAUGGGCUAAAAAUUCUGUUCUUGUUCUACAUUUAGAUUUAAGUGGAAUGGAAUUCUAUAAAAUAUUAUGGUAAAUUAUGUUGUAUUUUUUAUCUCUAAGAUAUUGGUAGCACCUAGUUAGUAGCUUCCCAGACUACUAGAAUUUCAUUUUCCUUCUGGUUAUGACUAGAUUGUGAAGAGCAGUCCUAUGUAUGCAGUUGCCCUGAUAAGGUCUUAAAAAUGCAUAACCACAGAGUCAGGCUAUACCGGGAAAGUACACACCAAAAACUGUGUUGUUUUAAUGCUUUUGAGUGUGUGUUUUAGUUUACAGAAGGAUUGCUAGGGGGAACAUAUCUCAGUUUCCUUUUUCUCAAGAAAGAACUAUAUUCACCACAGAGUUAUUGUUAGUAUUUUAAUGAAAAAUAUCAAAGAUCUUCUAUUGAGAUUGAAAUCAAGUUUUAAUAUUUUUUUCCCCUGAGAUUCAGGACUAGUAUUGAUAAUAUGCCAGUCAUGAAAAUUAUACUGAGAAAAAUUUUUCUUCUCUUUGAAUAGUGCUUUCAUAUUUCUAUUUGCAAGUUUAGCACAUAUGACUCUUUAUUUUCUGUCAAUUGUAGUCACUUGCAGUUAGAAUAUGUUACCCUUAGAUAAGAUGUGCUUUCUGAAGAAGCAGACUUCUGUACCAGUAGCAAUGAGAGAUGAGCAUGUAUUUCUAAUAAAAUACAUUAUUCCUUAUUAAGGCAGAUCAAUAUUACAAAUGCUGUAAGAAUCAAAAAACAUAGGAACACUUAAGCCCUAGGUGCAAUUUAAUUUCUUCCAAAACAUUGCUUAAAUGUACUGAUUUCCUAAUUUGUUCAUGUGAUAGAGCUCCCAGAAGGACUUGCAAAAUACCCUGAAGCAGUGAUGUUUAAACUUAACAUAAUACCGAAUCUUGUGAUAAAUUUACUAUCACGUUAUUGUAUACUCACUUCAAAUGAUAGUUUCAAAACAGACAAGAAAUAGCAGGUAUGACCAGCUGAAGUAACUUUUGGGAGAGAAACAAUUAAGACUAAAUUAACUUUAAAAAUUUGCAGCUAUGAAGUGACCUGCUGCCUGACCCCUUGCCCCAAACAAGGAAUUCUUUAUUUACCCUUGGAGGCAAAAUGUGUUGAGUGAGCCCAUGAAAUUGCAGUGUUCUUUAUGUAUAUAGGUUGAAUUGACCACAUGCAUGCACACACACACACACCCCUCACUUCUUGAAAGUUUGUGUUACACCACUUUGCUUUUCUGAAACACCUAAAUUAGUACCUGCUUUCACUAACUGAAAGAAAUUCAAAGAGGAUUUUCACUCUUUUGAAAAAAAGUGAAAAGCCAAGCUUGGGUUCAGCGUUGCUUUGUGAGGCUGCUGUGGAGGCUACAGCACAGGUGGUGAGAAGGGCAGGCCAGGACCCCUGCCCAGGACCACCUGCAGCCCCUCAGCAGGCAGCCACCAAGCUCCCAACUGGGAGCAUCUGUCUUUCCUGUCAUGUUUUAUGCAUUUGUUAGCAGCAUGUGUUCUAAGGUAUCAAAAAGCUAGAAGAGUUGAUUUUUUGGGUCUGGGAAUGCUCAGAUUUUCAAUAUGAAUUAAAGGUAAUUGCUUCUUUAUUUUAUGCCAUUUUGGCUUAUGAAAGUUUCAUAGGAACAUGCUUUCAGGUAACUGGGGAAACCUGUAUAUAUAUACACACACAGGUACACAUACCCAUACAACAGGUACUUACACACACACACACACACACACACACACACAUACACACAUACACACACACACAUAACUAGAAAGAUUUAAAACAAAAUGAAAACCAAAGGGGAAGAUAAGAAUUUAAACGAGGCUGGGUUUGUCCCACUAGGAAUCCAGGGUUAGAAAAGAGCCUGUCUCGCUUAGUUGUGAUGUGCUGGUGGUCACUGAGCACUGCCAGGAACUGGUUCAUGUACAUGUGUGUGAUGUGUCUCAAGCUGCAUACAGCAGAUGGUUUCAGUGGGGAGGGAGCCGAGUGGGACAGCAGGUCUCUGCAUCGGUAAGCGAGGCGCAAACUGGUGCACCGCUGUGUGGCUAGGGCUCCCUGACUUGGGCUAGCAAGGUUCCAGAUAAACUAAUUAGUUUUCUUAGAACUAAUACUAAUAACCUUUUUAAACCUAGUUACGAUAAACAUAAAUCUUCUAUCACCAUUUUCUUUCUCUCUGCUAACAACUGACAUUUUGAGAAUUUAGAGCCAAAUAACCAUAUCCUCUAGGUCAGAUUUUCGAGGGUUAAGGGAGUUGGGAUGCAGAUUUUACUGAAAGGACUGAGGUGGGCAUGACUGUCUCUGAUAGGAGCCCACAGACCCCUCCCCACUCUGUGUUCUGGUCAGAGCCUGGGAACUGUGAAGUGUCAGUUCCCUCUUCACUGCCUUGUUUUAAAGUGACAUCUAUGUCAAUCGAGGAAAUCCAGCCCUCCCGUCUGGCCCAUUUCUCUCUCCCAGUGUUAGUAAUACUUAGGAGCAAAUAGUCCAGGCUGUCAGUCACCCUUCAGUAUGAAUCAAUUUUUUUGAGAUUACUUUCUUAUGAGGAUUUUUUAAAUAGGUGAAGAAAUAGGAAUGUGGUUAAGAAAUAGGAAAUAGGAAAGAAAAAAGAUUUAGUGGUCAUUUCGGGACAGAGGGACUUUGGGGAGAUCACAAGCCUAGGGGGGUAUUUGGACUUUAUUUUAUGCAAAUGUAAAAUUUGGGAGAGCAACAUGAAAACUCAGGUCUCCACUGGUAAGGGUAGAGGCCUCAGAAGUGUGUGGGCGGUAAGAAAGGCAGUGGAGGUCGCUCCCUAGAUUUUCCCAGGCCAGACCCUGCCUUGUCUUUUCCCAGACCAGUGGCAGCUGCCAUUGAUUUGAGUGAAACAUCGCCAGCCCUCUCUGCCUCACCUUAUUUGGAGUGUGGAGUCAAGGAGGAGAGAGCUGAUGGCAGGAUGAGUCUAAAGGCAUUUGCAGGAUGGGCCUCAACUGGUUGUGCAAAACAAACAGUGCGUUCUUAGGGAAUGCGUUAGUCCUUAUGCAGCCCGCUGGCACUAAGCCUUCAAUUAAAUGUGUGUCUAAGACUUUUUAUCGAAUGCUACAUUUUCUGUUUCCUAAUUUGCCCCUGAAAUCUAAAGUUUUAGACCUAGACUUCUGGAAAGGGCAUUUUCCUUUUAAAGAUAUUUUUUUUUUAUUUUUAGUGUAAGCAUUUUUAACAUGUAGUAUUCUUCUUACAUGUGUAGGGUAAAAUUAUGCUAUUUUAGUGUUGAAAGGAAAUGUCUUUUUAAAAAAUUUCAUUUUUUUUCCCCAGAGGAUGUUCUUGAAUUUUUAAUGCAAGUGUACGGAUUAUUUUUUCACACUUUUAGAUGGAAGCAGUUAAGCAUCUACAAGGCAGUGAGGUUUGUUUUUCAAUGUUUUAAACAGAGCUUUAGUUUUGCUGUUAAAUUACUGUGCUUUUAAAGAAACAUGGCGGGUUAAAAAAAGCAAAAAUCGGUGUGUAAAAUCUUAUUUGCAUAUCUAGAAUGUUAUUAAACAAUGUUAACUCGAUUGCUUGUCUUUGCUGUAUUUAGAGAUUAAAUGAUUUCAAGGUGCUCAUGUUGCAAAA